AUUGAACGCUGGCGGCAUGCCUUACACAUGCAAGUCGAACGGCAGCACGGGUGCUUGCACCUGGUGGCGAGUGGCGAACGGGUGAGUAAUGCAUCGGAACGUACCUUAUCGUGGGGGAUAACGCAGCGAAAGCUGUGCUAAUACCGCAUACGCCCUGAGGGGGAAAGCGGGGGAUCGAAAGACCUCGCGCGAUUAGAGCGGCCGAUGCCUGAUUAGCUUGUUGGUGGGGUAAAAGCCCACCAAGGCGACGAUCAGUAGCUGGUCUGAGAGGACGAUCAGCCACACUGGGACUGAGACACGGCCCAGACUCCUACGGGAGGCAGCAGUGGGGAAUUUUGGACAAUGGGGGCAACCCUGAUCCAGCAAUGCCGCGCGAGUGAAGAAGGCCUUCGGGUUGUAAAGCUCUUUUGUCAGGGAAGAAACACCGGCUCUAACACAGUCCGGGAAUGACGGUACCUGAAGAAUAAGCACCGGCUAACUACGUGCCAGCAGCCGCGGUAA
rnacentral:rRNA from 1 species